UACGUAGGUGGCAAGCGUUGUCCGGAAUUAUUGGGCGUAAAGCGCGCGCAGGCGGUCCUUUAAGUCUGAUGUGAAAGCCCACGGCUCAACCGUGGAGGGUCAUUGGAAACUGGGGGGACUUGAGUACAGAAGAGAAGAGUGGAAUUCCACGUGUAGCGGUGAAAUGCGUAGAUAUCGGGAGGAACACCAGUGGCGAAGGCGACUACCUGGCCUGUUCUUGACGCUGAGGCGCGAAAGCUAGGGGAGCAAACGGG
rnacentral:rRNA from 1 species